rnacentral:rRNA from 1 species
UGGGGAAUUUUGCACAAUGGGGGAAACCCUGAUGCAGCGACGCCGCGUGAUUUAGAAGGCCUUCGGGUUGUAAAAAUCUUUUCUAUGGGAAGAAAAUGACAGUACCAUAGGAAUAAGGACCGGCUAAUUACGUGCCAGCAGCCGCGGUAAUACGUAAGGUCCGAGCGAUGUCCGGAAUCAUUGGGCGUAAAGGGUACGUAGGCGGGUAAGCAAGUUAGAAGUGAAAUCCUAUAGCUCAACUAUAGUAAGCUUUUAAAACUGCUCAUCUUGAGGUAUGGAAGGGAAAGUGGAAUUCCUAGUGUGGCGGUGAAAUGCGCAGAUAUUAGGAGGAAUACCGGUGGCGAAGGCGACUUUCUGGCCAUAACCUGACGCUGAGGUACGAAAGCGUGGGUAGCAAACAGG